rnacentral:rRNA from 1 species
GUGUCAGCAGCCGCGGUAAUACGGAGGGUGCAAGCGUUAUCCGGAUUCACUGGGUUUAAAGGGAGCGCAGGCGGGCAUGUAAGUCCGUGGUGAAAUACCUCAGCUUAACUGAGGAACUGCCAUGGAUACUAUAUGUCUUGAAUGUUGUGGAGGUUUGCGGAAUAGGUCAUGUAGCGGUGAAAUGCAUAGAUAUGACCUAGAACACCAAUUGCGAAGGCAGCAGGCUACACAAAUAUUGACGCUGAGGCUCGAAAGCGUGGGGAUCAAACAGGAUUAGAUACCCCAGUAGUCC